AGCCUCCCCCAAAAAAUAAAGGAAGUCCCUGCUUUUCUUCUCUCUUUGGUCUUCACAACCUGGGGAACUUGCAGCCUGGGUGCUGCUGGAGGCAAGGGCGCCAACCACCCUGCCCCACCACCCCCAGUACACAGCAGAGCCCAUGUGCAGCUCCAGGCUGGGCUCCGAGCUAACAGGCAGGCCAGCAAGUACGAAGGGCCUCUCUCAGCUCCUGCUCAGCUGGGAACCUCCCCAGGCAGCAGGGUCAGGAAACGGGGCACCCUGCUGACCCCCCACCCUCACUCAGGGGCCCUCAUCUUGUGGGGGCUCCACGACAAGGCCCUGCCCCUGGGCACAGACGGUGAGAGCAGGAGGCCAGGCCAAGGUGUCAGAAACCACCGCCACCUGGAUGGAGGAGAAAUCCCGCUCCUACAGAGAGCAGGGGCUGAGUGAGAGAGGGGAGUGGCAGGACAGUGUGAAGGGAGGGCAAAUAUCCCUGCCCGUGUGUGGGUGCUCCUGGAGGCCUCUGCCCAUGAACAUGCAUACACAACACACCACACACACACAACACACUUACAAACCACUCACACAAACCACACAACACAAAGCCUGAGGGCCCAUGGCCUUGGGCAGCUCAGCUCACCCUCAACCCACUGCCUCCCUGACCACCUAUAGGCCCCGGUCC
rnacentral:lncRNA from 1 species